AGCGUUUUCGCGACUGUCGCAUCGGCCCCCGUCGCGUGUGCAUCAUCUCAAUUUGUCAAACGAACGUGCUUUUGUGGAUCUUUAAACAAGCGCGGUAAGGAAAAGAAGUGAAUGUUUGAAUUAUAGCCAGACUGCUUGAGUUCGAACCGGCAGCGGAAGGCGGCAAUAAGUGGAUCAUUUCGAAGGCGGCACGGGGUAAAUGUUUUCAUCAAUGGCGACUGCAGCGAUUUACCAAAGUUUACUGUGAUAAUUAGCGUGUUGAUGAAUGUUGUCUGAGAGGGAAAAGAGAGCGAGAGAAUUUUGAGCCGAUAGGACAGCUAGAUUGUGUGCA